GACGAACGCUGGCGGCGUGCUUAACACAUGCAAGUCGAACGGAAAGGCCCUGCUUUUGUGGGGUGCUCGAGUGGCGAACGGGUGAGUAACACGUGAGUAACCUGCCCUUGACUUUGGGAUAACUUCAGGAAACUGGGGCUAAUACCGGAUAGGAGCUCCUGCUGCAUGGUGGGGGUUGGAAAGUUUCGGCGGUUGGGGAUGGACUCGCGGCUUAUCAGCUUGUUGGUGGGGUAGUGGCUUACCAAGGCUUUGACGGGUAGCCGGCCUGAGAGGGUGACCGGCCACAUUGGGACUGAGAUACGGCCCAGACGGCUACGGGAGGCAGCAGUGGGGAAUAUUGCACAAUGGGCGGAAGCCUGAUGCAGCAACGCCGCGUGCGGGAUGACGGCCUUCGGGGUGUAAACCGCUGUCGCAUGUGACGAAGCGUGAGUGACGGUAAUGGGUAAAGAAGCACCGGCUAACUACGUG
rnacentral:rRNA from 1 species